rnacentral:tRNA from 1 species
GGAGCGGUAGUUCAGUUGGUUNNCCUGCCUGUCACGCAGGGGGUCGCGGGUUCGAGCCCCGUCCGUUCCGCCA